GGGGCGACUUCGAGAGAAAGGAUCGCACCGCCCCUCGGGGCUUCUCAGGGCGCCCAGGAGGCAACUGAAAUUCCCUCUCUAAAUGGAGAUGCUGGUUGGGGGAAGGAGAAUGGGGGCGACAAUGGGAUGUUUCUAAAUCUCCCUUGGAGAGGACUGCGUGGCGCAGCGGGAACGCGCGGUUUGGUGCCUCGGUGGAGCCGAUGCAGGGGUGAGGGGAGCCUGAUGAGAGUCCAUUCAGGCUGAAGCUAAAAUGUUGUCUUCUUAAAAAUCCACUUUCGGCCCUGGCCAGUUUGGCUCAGCGAUUGGAGCAUCGGC